GGGAGAAGGGCACUUACUUGACAGAGGUGUGUUGCUAAGAUUUUCUUGACUCGGCGAUGCCUCCUGGGGAUCCAGCUCUACGGCCUUGAAGGAACCAAACGCUUACUCAGCGCGGACCGCGACUCGGUUGCCGGGGCGACCAGGCACCUCUCACCCGGAAGCGAAUAGGCGAGGAGCCGAAGCUGAGCCAAUCGGGAGGCAGCAGGCUGUGCAGCUGCAGCCGGGCCGCGGCUGAGCCGCUCCAGGUGAAAAUGAGUUCCUCAGUAAGAAGAAAAGGCAAGCCAGGCAAAGGAGGUGGAAAAGGGUCUUCUAGAGGAGGAAGAGGAGGCAGGAGUCACACUAGUAAAUCUCAUGGGGGUGGCAGCAGUGGUGGUGGCAGUGCUGGCAACAGAAAGGCCUCGAGUAGAAUUUGGGAUGACGGUGACGACUUUUGUAUCUUCAGUGAAUCGAGGCGCACGUUCAGACCUAGCAACAGUAGAAAAGGAGAGGCACGCCCCAAAUGGAAGCCCGAAGCCAAAAUGCCCCUUCAGACUCUGCAUAUGACUUCUGAGAAUCAAGAGAAAGUGAAAGCUCUUCUCCGAGACCUGCAAGAACAAGAUGCGGAUGCUGGAUCUGAAAGAGGCAUUUCUGGGGAAGAGGAAGAUGACGAGCCUGAUUGUGAUGAUGAACAGUACUGGCCUGCUGCCCGAGAAGCUUCCCUUGUUCCUGACUGUGACCCUUUGGAAUGUGCUGGCUCAGGCCUAGUGGAGCCUCCUAAUCCAGAAUUCACAGUCUCAACAUUUGCAGUGCAGAAACUUGCCAGGUAUGGGUUCAACCCUGAACGCUGUCAGGCAGCCCUGCGGAUCUGUGAUGGAGAUGUGGGGGCAUCGCUGGAACAUCUGCUCACACGGUGUUUUUCAGAGACAUUCGGGGAGAGGAUGAAGCUCUCUGAGGCGGUUGCCCAUGUGAGCGUGGAUGAGUGUGUGGAACAGCGGCAGGAAGAGGCAUUUGCUCUGAAGUCAAUCUGUGGAGAAAAAUUUAUCGAAAGAAUUCAGAACCGAGUCUGGACCAUUGGAUUGGAAUUGGAGUAUUUGACGAGUAAAUUCUGCAAAUCAAAGCAAAAGGAAAGCACCAAAAAUACACAGGAGACUUCACUUGAAAUCUGUAAAUUUUACCUCAAAGGAAAUUGUAAAUUUGGAUCAAGAUGCAAAUUCAAGCAUGAAGUGCCCCCAAAUCAAAUUGUCGGAAGAGCAGAAAGAAUUGUAGAUGAUUCUCAUCUUAAUGCUCAUGAAGAUGCCUCUUUUUUAUAUGAACUUGAAAUUCGAUUUUCUAAAGACCACAAAUACCCCUAUCAAGCUCCCCUUGUGGCAUUUUAUUCCACCAAUGAGAAUCUACCUCUGGCUUGUCGUUUACAUAUCUCUGAGUUCCUUUAUGGCAAGGCCUUGACAUUUGCAGAAACUUCCGAACCUGUUGUAUAUUCUUUGAUAACCCUUUUAGAGGAAGAAUCAGAAAUAGUCAAUUUACUAACAAAUACCCAUCACAAAUACAGUGUCCCUCCUGUGAAUUUUCCACCAGUAUCGUCUGGGACCAGAAUAAAUAAUCCUGUCUGUCGUAAACCAGUGAUCCCAAACAAUUCUUUCGCUCCAAAUCAGACUCCUGAAGAGAGUGACUCUCCCCCUUUGCUAAAGAAAGGGCUCCAUAUGGAAAAUGUUUCCUUUUAUCCCCUGCAAGUUGAAAAAGAAUCAGAACCUGAGGAGGAUUCAGAGGAGGAUGAAGGUCCUGCACCAGUUAUAGUAGAGAAUGAGAGCUAUGUGAACCUUAAGAAAAAGAUUUCCAGAAGAUAUGACUGGCAGGCAAAAUCAGUACAUGCUGAAAAUGCUAAACUCUGCAAGCAGUUCCGAAUCAAACAGGCUUCCAGACAGUUCCAGGCAAUUCUGCAAGAAAGACAAUCACUCCCUGCUUGGGAAGAAAAAGAAACCAUUCUUAAAUUGUUGAGCGAUCACCAAGUGCUUGUUAUAAGUGGUAUGACUGGAUGUGGAAAAACCACCCAGAUUCCUCAGUUUAUUCUGGAUGAUUCUCUGAAUGGACCACCUGAGAAGGUGGCCAAUAUCAUCUGUACGCAACCCAGACGAAUCUCAGCAAUAUCUGUUGCUGAACGUGUUGCUAAAGAAAGGACAGAAAGAGUGGGUCUGACUGUGGGGUACCAGAUCCGGCUGGAAAGUGUCAAGUCCUCAGCCACCAGACUGUUGUACUGCACCACAGGCGUGCUGCUGAGAAGGCUGGAGGGAGACACAGCUCUACAAGGAAUCACCCAUAUCAUUGUUGAUGAAGUUCAUGAGAGGACAGAAGAAAGUGACUUCUUGCUGCUCGUCUUGAAGGACAUUUUGUUGCAGAGACCAACUCUUCAAGUUAUUCUAAUGAGUGCAACUUUAAAUGCUGAGCUCUUUUCAGAAUAUUUCAGUUCCUGCCCAAUUAUUACUAUCCCAGGUCGUACAUUUCCUGUUGAUCAGUUUUUUCUGGAAGAUGCAAUUGCUGUGACAAGGUACGUGCUGCAGGAUGGGAGCCCUUAUCUGCGCUCCAUGAAACAGAUGUCAAAGGAGAAGCUUAAAGCGAGGCGCAGCAGAACUGCGUUUGAAGAAGUAGAGGAAGACCUGAGGCUCUCCCUUCACCUCCAGCACCAGGAUUCUGUCAGAGAUGCAGUGCCAGACCAACAGUUGGAUUUCAAGCAGCUCCUGGCCCGCUAUAAAGGGGUUAGCAAAUCAGUCAUCAAAACUAUGUCCAUCAUGGAUUUUGAAAAGGUUAAUCUGGAAUUAAUAGAGGCCUUGUUAGAGUGGAUCGUGGAUGGAAAGCACUCCUACCCUCCAGGGGCUAUACUUGUAUUUUUACCGGGACUAGCAGAAAUCAAAAUGCUAUAUGAACAGCUACAGUCCAAUUCUCUUUUCAACAACAGACGCAGUAAUCGAUGCGUGGUUCACCCACUUCAUUCAUCUUUAUCCAGUGAAGAGCAGCAGGCUGUGUUUGUAAAACCCCCUGUGGGUGUAACUAAGAUUAUAAUUUCUACCAACAUUGCUGAGACAUCCAUAACCAUUGAUGAUGUUGUCUAUGUCAUCGAUUCUGGGAAAAUGAAAGAAAAGAGAUAUGAUGCCAGCAAAGGGAUGGAAAGCCUAGAGGAUACUUUUGUCUCUCAAGCCAAUGCUCUGCAAAGAAAAGGUCGAGCGGGCCGUGUUGCCUCUGGGGUCUGCUUCCAUUUAUUUACCAGCCAUCACUUCAAUCACCAGCUCUUAAAGCAGCAGCUACCAGAAAUACAAAGAGUGCCAUUGGAACAGCUGUGUCUGAGAAUUAAAAUUUUAGAGAUGUUUAGCACUCACAGUCUCCAGUCUGUUUUCUCUCGGCUCAUUGAGCCGCCGCACCCAGAUUCUCUCCGUGCCUCAAAAAUACGAUUACGAGACUUAGGAGCAUUAACUCCAGAUGAAAAGCUGACCCCUCUAGGGUAUCACCUGGCCUCCCUGCCGGUGGACGUGAGAAUCGGCAAACUGAUGCUGUUUGGGUCUAUCUUCCGCUGCUUGGAUCCUGCCCUCACCAUUGCCGCCAGCUUGGCUUUUAAGUCUCCUUUUGUGUCUCCCUGGGAUAAAAAAGAGGAAGCUAACCAGAAAAAGCUAGAAUUUGCAUUUGCCAACAGUGAUUAUCUGGCCCUUCUGCGAGCAUAUAAGGGAUGGCAGCUAAGUACGAAAGAAGGCAUGCGUGCAAGUUACAAUUACUGCAGACAGAACUUCCUGUCCGGAAGAGUUCUUCAGGAAAUGGCCAGCCUCAAACGACAAUUCACUGAACUGUUAUCAGACAUCGGCUUUGUAAAGGAGGGACUCAGAGCAAGGGAAAUUGAGAAAAGGGCCCAAGCAGGAGAUGGUAUCUUGGAUGCCACAGGCGAAGAGGCAAACUCAAAUGCUGAGAACCCCAAGCUGAUAUCAGCAAUGCUGUGUGCUGCUCUUUAUCCAAAUGUAGUGCAGGUGAAAAGCCCAGAAGGGAAAUUUCACAAGACCAGUACCGGAGCUGUCAGAAUGCAACCAAAAUCAGAGGAGCUGAAGUUUGUCACCAAGAACGAUGGAUAUGUGCACAUUCACCCUUCCUCGGUGAACUAUCAGGUCGGAAUGGCGGGUCCACUCACAUUUGCAUAGGGGAGGUCUCAGGGGAGCAACACAGCCCCUUCUAGUCAGCAGACCUCAUCCCAUCAAGUGCUGUCCCCAGCAGCACCACUGACUUGGGGAAGGUCGAGAAAGCGUGAACAGACUGGAAAUUGGACUGUGUUUGGAAAGACUAUUUCCAUUUGACGAAAAUUCUACUGGAUACAAAAAAAAAAAAAAAACCGCUCAAGCCUGCUUUCAAGCAUAAGCUUGCAUCUUUGCAGCGGUGACUUAAGCAGUCAGGAUCUAAUCGCAUCCCUAAAUCCACGCCUGACCAGGGAGGGAGUGACGGGCGCUUGCUGCUGGCGCUCCCUCACUUCGCACCCCCUCCUGCCUGCUGCCAACACCCUGUCCCAGCCCCAGAAGUGACGUGUGACCUCCUCGGGGUCCACCCCCUCCCUGGUCCUCCUUCCCCUUGACUCUAGUGUAGUAUUCGACCCUGCUAACCUCCCAUCCUCUUGAAACCAUCUUUGAUGUGUUUUUGCUCCUGAAAUACCACUUUCUUCUCUCUCUCCGAUCACCGCCCAAUACCCCUUUUGCUGGUUUCUCUCCUUUGCUCUGAAAUGGCGUUCUGUCCCUCGUCCUCAUUGUCUCACUGCGGAGCACUUACUCUUCCCGAACCCACAGAGCGUGACACCGCGGUUCCAAACUGCCAUCUGGAGCUGUCACAGAGCCCCCAGCUUGCUCUCCCUGUGCCUGGGCUUGUCCUGAGCCCUCCUCCUGGCAGCCCCAGCCGGACGCCUGCCAGUCAGCUCAGGCUCCUUGUCUCCCACUUCUCUCCUCUCUCCUCUCUCGCCUGUCCUGGCAAACAGCACCUUCCCAGCCGGAGGCCCCCGCGCACAGAGACCCUGCCACUCUUCGCCUCACUCCAGUCCAUCUGGGCGCCGGGCAGCAGUUCCGCCUGUCGACGCUCCCAGAUGUGCCUGCGUGUCCUCUCCCCACCGCCCUGCCUCAGUUCAAAGCCCACCUUGCCUGGAGUGCUGUAACGAUCUGACUUCUGGUCCUUUCUCUCCGACCUUUUACAGUACUGCUGCCACAAUUAACUUUACAAAACCUCCGUUUGGUCAUAUCAUCCCCUUGCUUAAAACUCUUCAUAUAUGGAGGCUCCCACACACUCUCAUCCGACCCUUCACGCCUGCCCCUCUUUACCAUGUCCCCUGUCACUCCUCCCUCCGUCACUCUGUGUGCCAUGACGUACAACGCACUCCCUCGAGUCUGGGAUGACAGUCCCAUUCUCAGCAGGCUCCUACCUAUCCUUGGAGCUUCCAUUAAAAACCACCUCCCCGGGGUCCCGCCCCCUCGAAGUUGCUCCUCUGUCCCACCAGCACGAGGUGUGCAUUUUGUCCACUGUUGCGCUUAUCCCAUUAUUUUACGGUUUGUGGUAAGUCUUCAUGGAAUUGUGAAAUUCCUAAAGACAGGACGUGUAUUCAUUUCUAUGUCCUCAUUGGCUAGCCUGGCACCUGGCCCAAAGCAGAUGCUCAG